rnacentral:rRNA from 1 species
CAUGCAAGUCGAACGCUGAAGCCAAGCUUGCUUGGUGGAUCAGUGGCGAACGGGUGAGUAACACGUGAGCAACCUGCCCUGGACUCUGGGAUAAGCGCUGGAAACGGCGUCUAAUACUGGAUAUGAGCCUCUAUCGCAUGGUCGGGGGUUGGAAAGAUUUUUUGGUCUGGGAUGGGCUCGCGGCCUAUCAGCUUGUUGGUGAGGUAAUGGCUCACCAAGGCGUCGACGGGUAGCCGGCCUGAGAGGGUGACCGGCCACACUGGGACUGAGACACGGCCCAGACUCCUACGGGAGGCAGCAGUGGGGAAUAUUGCACAAUGGGCGAAAGCCUGAUGCAGCAACGCCGCGUGAGGGAUGACGGCCUUCGGGUUGUAAACCUCUUUUAGCAGGGAAGAAGCGAAAGUGACGGUACCUGCAGAAAAAGCGCCGGCUAACUACGUGCCAGCAGCCGCGGUAAUACGUAGGGCGCAAGCGUUAUCCGGAAUUAUUGGGCGUAAAGAGCUCGUAGGCGGUUUGUCGCGUCUGCUGUGAAAUCCCGAGGCUCAACCUCGGGCCUGCAGUGGGUACGGGCAGACUAGAGUGCGGUAAGGGGAAGAUUGGAAUUCCUGGGUGUAAGCGGUGGAAUGCGCAGAUAUCAGGAGGAACACCCGAUGGCGAAGGCAGAUCUCUGGGCCGUAACUGACGCUGAGGAGCGAAAGGGUGGGGAGCAAACAGGCUUAGAUACCCUGGUAGUCCACCCCGUAAACGUUGGGAACUAGUUGU